UAUGAGUCAAAUAACAAACUCAUACCUUAUUUUUUAAACAUUGUAAUGUUAUACAUCAACUUACGAAUUCGUUGUAAUGUCAUACAUCCGUUAAAUUUUCUAUCAAUUUGGAUGCUAAAUGAUGAGAUGGCAGGAGUGAGCUCUACUCCCUCGAACAGAGAUCCCAGCCAAAUCUCACCCCACCAAAUACUAAGGAUCCGGAAAUCCGGACCGUUGAAAUUUGAUCAAAUGACUACAAACAGGGGGCCCUACUAAAAGUGAUAAUAAUUAUAGCCGUUAGAUCAAAUUUCAAAAAUCCUAAUCUCUAGAUCUUUAGGAUUUGAUGGGGUGAGAUCCGGUUGGGAUCUCUGUCCUACUCCCUCACCUAAUUGGUUAAGAAAUUAAUUAGAUAUUAAUAAACUAAGGAUUUUUUAGUCUGAACAAAAUAAAAUUCGUGAAAAAGAAACUCUUUCUCUCUCUCCGGGUUUCUCUACUCCCUAGAUCGAACCAGCAGAAGCUUAAGACCAACCAUCAGCCCCCGGAUCUUCUCCGCCUUCACCUUCAUCAACACACUGCAGCACCACGAAGCCCCGAGCUUCAGCAAUCCACGAGUUCAACAACGCAUUAAAGCCCCACGAAUCCCAGGAAUCAACGACAUUGCUGCAGCCCCGUGUUUUUCUUCUGCAAUCUGAGCCUCUACAAUCAGCAGCCACGAUGUCGUUCAUAAUUUAUCCCGCGAGCCCUCGCCAAGACGUCGUCCACAAUUGCUGCUGCUACAACUCAUAUGAACACGACAUUCACGGUCUUUGGAUCUGAAGUCGCCGGCGAUAAAACUUUCGUUGUUCAACAGCCGAAGAUAAAGACGAACCCGGAAAAAGCAAUUGUUCUUAUGUUAGGAACAUCCCAGAAAAAUUAGAAAGAGAUUGGAAAAUUUGGGAACGCCAACAUUUGCUGCGACAUCAGUGACAGUGGAGACGAAGAGAAAGAAGAAGAAGAGAAGAAGGAGAAGGCGCGGGAGGCGGAGUGGUCGACGUUGGGGAUCGAGGUGGUGUGGUCGAAGCUGGGGAUUACAUUUGCCUUGGGAUGGGUUUUGGGCUGCAGGUGGUGCCCAAUCACAACCAGAAGGUCCAGAACGAGAAGAUAAGAGAAGAUGGAGAGAGUUUUUUUGUUUAAUUGAUUUUAAUUUUGUUUAGACAAAAAAUUAUUAAUUUAUCAAUAUUUAAUUAAUUUUUAA